rnacentral:rRNA from 1 species
AGUUUGAUUAUGGCUCAGGAUGAACGCUAGCUACAGGCUUAACACAUGCAAGGUCGAGGGGCAGCAUGAUCGAAGCUUGCUUUGAUUGAUGGCGACCGGCGCACGGGUGAGUAACGCGUAUCCAAUCUUCCCUAUAGUAGAGAAUAGCCCGGCGAAAGUCGGAUUAAUGCUCUAUGUUGUAUUUAGAAGACAUCUGAAGAAUACCAAAGGGUUUACCGCUAUAGGAUGGGGAUGCGUCUGAUUAGGUAGUAGGCGGGGUAACGGCCCACCUAGCCGACGAUCAGUAGGGGUUCUGAGAGGAAGGUCCCCCACAUUGGAACUGAGACACGGUCCAAACUCCUACGGGAGGCAGCAGUGAGGAAUAUUGGUCAAUGGACGGAAGUCUGAACCAGCCAAGUAAGCGUGCAGGAUGACGGCCCUAUGGGUUGUAAACUGCUUUUAUAUAGGGAUAAAGUCGGGGACGUGUCCCCGUUUGUAGGUACUAUGUGAAUAAGGACCGGCUAAUUCCGUGCCAGCCGCAGC